rnacentral:tRNA from 2 species
AGGGGCGUAGUUCAGCGGUAGAACGUUGGUCUCCAAAACCAAAUGUCGUGGGUUCAAAUCCUGCCGCCCCUGCCA